rnacentral:rRNA from 1 species
UGUUUCGGCUAGGGGGUCAUCCCGACUUACCAACCCGAUGCAAACUACGAAUACCGAAGAAUGUUAUCACGGGAGACACACGGCGGGUGCUAACGUCCGUCGUGAAGAGGGAAACAACCCAGACCGCCAGCUAAGGUCCCAAAGUCAUGGUUAAGUGGGAAACGAUGUGGGAAGGCCCAGACAGCCAGGAUGUUGGCUUAGAAGCAGCCAUCAUUUAAAGAAAGCGUAAUAGCUCACUGGUCGAGUCGGCCUGCGCGGAAGAUGUAACGGGGCUAAACCAUGCACCGAAGCUGCGGCAGCGACACUAUGUGUUGUUGGGUAGGGGAGCGUUCUGUAAGCCGUUGAAGGUGGCCUGUGAGGGUUGCUGGAGGUAUCAGAAGUGCGAAUGCUGACAUAAGUAACGAUAAUGCGGGUGAAAAACCCGCACGCCGGAAGACCAAGGGUUCCUGUCCAACGUUAAUCGGGGCAGGGUGAGUCGACCCCUAAGGCGAGGCCGAAAGGCGUAGUCGAUGGGAAACAGGUUAAUAUUCCUGUACUCGGUGUUACUGCGAAGGGGGGACGGAGAAGGCUAUGUUGGCCGGGCGACGGUUGUCCCGGUUUAAGCAUGUAGGCGGAUGUUCCAGGUAAAUCCGGAGCGUCACUAACGCUGAGGUGU